rnacentral:rRNA from 1 species
GCUGGCGGCACGCCUUAUACAUGCAAGUCGAACGAAGUAGCAAUACUUAGUGGCAGACGGGUGAGUAACAUGUAGGUAUCUACCCUUUGGCCUGGAAUAACACGAGGAAACUUGUGCUAAUACUGGAUAAGUCUUUACGGAGAAAGCUUUAUGCACCAUUGGAUGAGCCUGCACUUGAUUAGUUUGUUGGUGGGGUAAUGGCCUACCAAGACUGUGAUCAAUAGCUGAUUUGAGAGGAUGAUCAGCCACAUUGGGACUGAGACACGGCCCAAACUCCUACGGGAGGCAGCAGUGGGGAAUCUUGCACAAUGGAGGAAACUCUGAUGCAGCGAUGCCGCGUGAGUGAAGAAGGCCCUUGGGUUGUAAAGCUCUUUCGUCGGGGAAGAAAAUGACUGUACCCGAAUAAGAAGGUCCGGCUAACU